UACGAAGGGGGCUAGCGUUGCUCGGAAUCACUGGGCGUAAAGCGCACGUAGGCGGCUUAUUAAGUCAGGGGUGAAAUCCUGGAGCUCAACUCCAGAACUGCCUUUGAUACUGGGGAUCUUGAGUCCGGGAGAGGUGAGUGGAACUGCGAGUGUAGAGGUGAAAUUCGUAGAUAUUCGCAAGAACACCAGUGGCGAAGGCGGCUCACUGGCCCGGUACUGACGCUGAGGUGCGAAAGCGUGGGGAGCAAACAGG
rnacentral:rRNA from 1 species